CCUACGGGAGGCAGCAGUAGGGAAUUUUCCACAAUGGGGGAAACCCUGAUGCAGCGACGCCGCGUGAGUGAAGAAGGUUUUCGGUAUGUAAAGCUCUAUUAGCAGGGAAGAAAAUGUCGGUAACUGACUAUGCACCCCCUGAUAAUUACGUGCCAGCAGCCGCGGUAAUACGUAGUGGCCAAGCGUUCUCCGGUUUUACUGGGGGUAAAGGGAGCGGAGACGGGAGUAUAUGACUCGGGUGAAAGGCCGGGGCUUAACCCCGGAUGUGCAUUGGAAACUGGGCAACGAGAGUGCAGGAGAGGAAAGUGGAAGUCCAAGUGUAGCGGUGAAAUGCGUAGAUAUAUGGAGGAACACCAGUGGCGAAGGCGACUUACUGGACUGUAACUGACGUUGAGGUUCGAAAGCGUGGGGAGCAAACAGGAUUAGAUACCCGAGUAGUC
rnacentral:rRNA from 1 species